UGCCGGGAACCGCUUCCCGGGCGUCGCUUCCCGGGGCCCCGCGGGCUAGGCGGCUGCGCGCGGAUCCCGGCGGAUCUGCGGAGGGUGACUCACCCCCUGCAGCCUCCGGUUGGAAAAAUUACAGGGUGCGCAGGCGGCCUCUGCUCUAGGAACAACCAGCUGGGCCUUUAAAGUCCGAAAGCAAAGACGAAAUCAGACGCGUGGGAACUUCUUUUUUUUUUAAUACAGACUAAAGUUCAUCAUUCGAAUUGGAGAAGCAUUAGUACGAUUGUUGAACAAGAAACAAAUUCGACGUAUUUUGGGGAUUCGAAUAGCCACAAAGUUUGUGCAAUAAAACCCGAGAUUACUUCAA